UGGGGAAUAUUGGACAAUGGGGGCAACCCUGAUCCAGCCAUGCCGCGUGCGGGAAGAAGGCCUUCGGGUUGUAAACCGCUUUUAGCCGGAAAGAAAAGGCACAGGCCAAUACCCUGUGUUCUUGACGGUACCGGCGGAAUAAGCACCGGCUAACUACGUGCCAGCAGCCGCGGUAAUACGUAGGGUGCGAGCGUUAAUCGGAAUUACUGGGCGUAAAGCGUGCGUAGGCGGUCCGCUGUGUCCUGUGUGAAAGCCCCGGGCUCAACCUGGG
rnacentral:rRNA from 1 species